rnacentral:rRNA from 1 species
CCUACGGGGCGCAGCAGUGGGGAAUAUUGGGCAAUGGGCGCAAGCCUGACCCAGCAACGCCGCGUGAAGGAAGAAGGCUCUCGGGUUGUAAACUUCCUUUCUCAGGGACGAAGAAAGUGACGGUACCUGCGGAAUAAGCCACGGCUAACUACGUGCCAGCAGCCGCGGCAAUACGUAGGUGGCAAGCGUUAUCCGGAUUUAUUGGGUGUAAAGGGCGUGUAGGCGGGAGCGCAAGUCAGAUGUGAAAACUCAGGGCUCAACCCUGGGCCUGCAUUUGAAACUGUGUUUCUUGAGUGCUGGAGAGGCAAGCGAAAUUCCGGGUGUAGCGGUGAAAUGCGUAGAUAUACGGAGGAACACCAGUGGCGAAGGCGGAUUGCUGGACAGUAACUGACGCUGAGGCGCGAAAGCGUGGGGAGCAAACAGGAUUAGAUACCCUUGUAGUC